rnacentral:rRNA from 1 species
CGCUCCGGCCCUAUCAGCCUGAAGGCGCCCGAUCUCGUCUGAUCUCGGAAGCUAAGCAGGGUCGGGCCUGGUUAGGAUCUUGGAUGGAGACCACCUGGGAAUCCCGGGUGCUCGAGCUU